ACGCUCGACACCUACGGGAGCAGCAGUGGGGAAUAUUGCACAAUGGGGGGAACCCUGAUGCAGCGACGCCGCGUGAGUGAAGAAGUACUUCGGUAUGUAAAGCUCUAUCAGCAGGGAAGAAAAUGACGGUACCUGACUAAGAAGCCCCGGCUAACUACGUGCCAGCAGCCACGGUAAUCUGAGGCGGGCUGGCAAGGC
rnacentral:rRNA from 1 species